ensembl:lncRNA
CUGAUAUCUUCAACCUAUCGCUACGUAAGUCAGUGGUCCCCACCUGCUUCAAAAAGUCCAUAAUUGUUCCUGUUCCAAAAAAGCAAAAAGUCCUCAGCAUGAAUGACUACCGCCCUGUAGCACUCACACCAAUCAUCAUGAAGUCCUUUGAGCGGCAAGAUAAACACACAUCACAGACUGCAACACUUGACCCGCUACAGUUUGCCUACAGACAAAACAGAUCCACAGAGGAUGCCAUCGCUCUGAUCCUCCACUCUGCAUUCUCUCAACUGGAAAAAAGGAACUUGUGAGAAUGCUGUUCAUUGACUACAGCUCAGCCUUCCACACCAUUGUGUCCCACAAGCUGGCGGUUAAGCUCAGGGAUCUGGGUCUCAACCCCAGUAUGUGCAGAUGGAUCCUGAACUUCCUGAUGGGCAGACCCCAGAUGGCAUUAUAGAGUCAUGGGUGGUAACUCUAGAGUUGUAGGAGGAGCAGCAAACGGAUCAUCACAGAUCCCAGCCACCCAUGCCACAGACUGUUCACCAAGCUGCUGUCAGGCAGAAGAAGCAGUAAGGAAGAAUCCUUCCAACUGGGGUGCAACUGACGAGGCUGUCCAGAACCAGAUCACCAGGUACCUGAAAGGG